rnacentral:rRNA from 1 species
ACGGGUGAGUAAUGUCUGGGAAACUGCCUGAUGGAGGGGGAGUAACUACUGGAAACGGUAGCUAAUGCCGCAUAACGUCGCAAGACCAAAGAAGGGGGGACCGUUCGGGCCUCUUGCCAUCGGAUGUGCCCAGAUGGGAUUAGCUAGUAGGUGGGGUAACGGCUCACCUAGGCGACGAUCCCUAGCUGGUCUGAGAGGAUGACCAGCCACACUGGAACUGAGACACGGUCCAGACUCCUACGGGAGGCAGCAUG